UACGGAGGGGGCGAGCGUUAUUCGGAAUUACUGGGCGUAAAGCGUGCGUAGACGGUAGCGUAAGUCAGAUGUGAAAGCCCCGGGCUCAACCUGGGAACUGCAUUUGAGACUGCUCUGCUCGGGUGCGGAAGAGGGAAGCGGAAUUUCCGGUGUAGCGGUGAAAUGCGUAGAUAUCGGAAGGAACACCAGUGGCGAAAGCGGCUUCCUGGUCCGACACCGACGUUCAGGCACGAAAGCGUGGGGAGCAAACAGG
rnacentral:rRNA from 1 species